rfam:Acyrthosiphon pisum strain LSR1 Contig3160, whole genome shotgun sequence.
UCUCGAGACGAAACUGACGCGAAAGCAUUUUGCCCAAGUACGUUCUCGUAUGAUCAAGAACGAAAGUUAGAGGUUCGAAGGGCGAUCAGAUACCGCCCUAGUUCUAACUGUAAAACGAUGCCAGCUAGCGAUCCGCCGGCGUUUCAUUAACGACCCGGCGGGCAGCUUCCGGGAAACCGAAGCUUUUCGGUUCCGGGGGAAGUAUGAUUGCAAAGUUGAAACUUAAAGGAAUUGACGGAAGGGCACCACCAGGAGUGGAGCCUGCGGCUUAAUUUGACUCAACACGGGAAACCUCACCAGGCCCGGACACCGGAAAGAUUGACAGAUUGAGAGCUCUUUCUUGAUUCGGUGGGUGGUGGUGCAUGGCCGUUCUUAGUUGGUGGAGCGAUCUGUCUGGUUAAUUCCGAUAACGAACGAGACUCUGUCCUGCUAACUAGGCGGGUAAACCCGGGUCGGCGUGUGCGCGGCGCUGGCGGUUUCGGCCGUCAGUGUUCGCGUACCCGUCGGCUCGGCCCGGUAUCCCCGAACGCGUUCGCCCGUCGUCCACGGCGGUCGUCGGGCGCGGCCGCGCCAUCCGCGUCCCGGCGUUCGGCGGGCGUAUGUCGGCCGGGGGGCAACCUCCGGUCGGCCUGCGUCCGUCGUGCGUCGGGCUCCGUGGUGAAGCGCGCCGUGUUCGCGGCCGUCGCCGGCGGAUCACGAUACGUUACUAGGGCUACCGCCGGCUCCCAGGAGCUUAAACUCUUCUUAGAGGGACAGGCGGCGGACGAACAUAGCCGCACGAGACUGAGCGAUAACAGGUCUGUGAUGCCCUUAGAUGUUCUGGGCCGCACGCGCGCUACACUGAAGGAAUCAGCGUGUUUAACAAUCCUGGGCCGACAGGCUUCCGGGUAACCCGCUGAACCUCCUUCGUGCUUAGGGAUCGUGGCUUGCAAUUUUUCCACGUGAACGAGGAAUUCCCAGUAAGCGCGAGUCAUCAGCUCGCGUUGAUUACGUCCCUGCCCUUUGUACACACCGCCCGUCGCUACUACCGAUUGAACGGUCGCAUUGAGGUCUUCGGAGUGGACGCGCGUUAUUCGGCCCCCUCGGGGGCUGGGUCGUCGCGCGAUCGCGAAGAUGACCGAAAUCGGCCGUUUAGAGGAAGUAAAAGUCGUAACAAGGUUUCCGU